rnacentral:lncRNA from 1 species
GACCAGUCACAUUUUGUUCUACAUUUCUGCUUUCUUCAGUUCUUCUCCGUCUAUAAAACCAAACCCUUCCACUCAGCUUAUUGGAACACUUAUUCUAUUUUAUGGAAUGAAGUGUUGCCCAAUUCUAAAAAUGCAAUAAAGCCAAUUGAGAUCUUUAAGAUAAAUUUGUUGUAGCUUUGUCUUUUGGCAGAUCUAAGCAUACAAGGGCUAGAUUAAUGCACUCAUUCAUUUCCUUAUUUAACAAAAUUGUAUUGAGUGCUUUCCACAUACUAGGUACUUUGCCAGGGCCCAGGGGAUACAGAGGUCAAUUACAAAAACAGUCCCCGUCAUAUUGUCUGCAGACUAGUGUAGAGAUGGACAAGUUAGCUGUUGCAGUAAGAGUGCAUUAGUGGAACACCUGAACCUAGAUUUGGGGGUCAGGAAAGGAAUUCUGAGAGGAAAGUAGAACUGAGAAAUAAAUAGAAAUUAUUCAAGCCUGUGUGUGUUGAGAAAGAGAAAGUGGCAGUGUGUGCAUGUGUUUGUACUUUAAGGAAGAGAAAGAGACAAGCACAGGGAGAGAGAGAACGGGUCAGCCAAGCCAGUGGGAAGCCUACGACAUUCCCCUGGGUCACUUAGUGAACUCCUACUCUUUCAUCAGGCCUCACUUGAACAUGACUUCCUCCAGAAGCCUUCCCAGACAUCUUUGAGCUAGAAAGUCAGAAGAGUAGAAUUGGAACCCAGCUCAGUCUGAUGCCACAUCCUUUGUUGUUUCCAUUAAAUCAGAGAAUUUCUUAGUGCUGAGAAACUAUUCUGGAACUUACAACAAAGAUAAAUAGCAGCUGCUACUGGUGCUGUUGAUUGCGAUUUCUGUUUGAAAAUGGAAUCUUGAGCAUCUGUUCUCUCCUUUUAUAUUUUACUGUGAGAGAAAAUCUAUUUUUUUCAAAAGGUAAUUCAUACACAUGGUAAAAAUUUAAACAAUAUAAAAACCUAUUUUUAAAAAACAUAUACUCUUGAGUAUUUCUGUGUACUUUGCUUUCAUCACUAAUACAUCUUUAAGUUUAUUCCAUAUUGGUACGCAAAAUACAUAUUUCAUUAUUCUAAUGAUUACAUAUUACUUAAUUCAAUUUGUAAUACAUAAAUGGCAGUUUACUAAUAUAACCAUAUAAAAAGUAAUCUAACAGAAGUUACAAUGUUUUAUCAGGUGAGCACUACACUGUUAUUUUAAUACUUGCCAGUUAAAUCAAGCAAUGUGACUGCUAAAAGUAGAAUUCCCAUACAGUAGGAAAGCACAAUUUAUUUUUAUAAUAAAAGCAAUAAAUGUG